AUCUCUGCAAAGAUCCUAGUUCCAAAUAAGGUCACAUUAAUGGGUACCAGGAGUUAAGGCUUGAAUAUACUUUUUCGUUGGAGACACAUUUAACUAACUCACAACAAUAGUUCUGCAGGUUAUACAAGAAGCAUGGUGCCAGCAUCUGGUGAAAGCCAGCCUGAGGAAGCUUUCAACCAUGUGAGAAGGCAAAGAGGAAGCAGGCACCUCACAUGACAAUGAAGCCCAACCUGAGAGAAAUUAAAUACUUUUAUCAGGAUUAGCCUCCCAGGAUAUGGCAGAGUUUGGAUUUCAAUCCUGGUCUAUGAGUCUUCAGCAACCAUGGACACAAUUGAAGAAACUGGUUAUUUUUACCCAGGCUUUGACUGGAAUGACAUGCUUUCAAAUAUAAGCAGCCUGCUAUAAGGAACCAGACUUGACUUAUGGAACCAAGAAACUCAAAAUCGUACCAAUUAUAAUCUCACAAUACAGUGAAAUAAAAAUAGAAAUCAAUAUCAAGGAGCACUCUCAAAACUAUACAAUAUGUGGAAAUUAAACAACUUGCUCCUGAAUGACUUUUGCGUAAACAACAAAAUUAAGGCAGAAGUAAAAAAAUUAUUUGAAAUAAAUGUAAAUAGAGACACAACAUACCAAAAUCUCUAGGAUGCAACAAAAGAGUGUCAAGAGGAAAGUUUAUAGUGCUGAAUGCCUACCUCUUAAAUUUAAAAAGAUAUCAAAUUAACAAUCUAACAUCACACCCAGAGGAACUAGGAAAAUAAGAACAAAACUAACCAGAAAGCUAGCAGAAGAAAAGAAAUAACUAAAAUCAGAUCAAAAGUGAACACAAUUAAGACCUAAAAAUACAUACAAAGAAUCAAUGAAACCAAAUUGAAACACUGAAGAGACCAAUAUCAAGUUCCAAACCUGAAUCAGUAUUAAAAAGCCUACCAACCAAAAAGAGCCCCAGACAAGAAGGAUUUACAACCAAAUUCUACCACAUGAUUAAAAAGAACUGGUAUCAAUUCUAAUGAAACUAUGCCAAAAUAUUGAGGAGGAGGGACCUCUCUCUAAUUUAUUAUAUGAAGCCAGCAUUACCUUGAUACCAAAAUCUGGAAAAGAAACAAGGAAAAAAGAAAACUACAAAUGAACAUAGAUACAAAAAUCCUCAACACAACACUACCAUCCUCAACACAACACUACCAAAUCAAAUUCAACAGCACAUCAAAAAUUUAAUUUAUCAUGAUCAAGUAGGCUUGAUUCCUGUGAUGCAGGGUUUGCUCAAUAUAUGUAAAUCAAUAAAUGUGAUUGCCCACAUAUACAGAAUUAAAAACAAAAACCACAGGAUCUCUUUCUGCAUCUCAAUAGAUGCAGAAAAGGCUUUCAAUAAAAUCGAACUUCCCUUCAUAAUAAAAGCCCUUGAAGGAACAUACCUCAAAACAAUAAGGGCAGUCUGUGAAAAACCCAUAGCCAACAUCAUACUAAACAGGGAAAAACUGGUAGCAUUCCCUUUGAGAACUGAAACAGAACAGGGAUGUCCACUCUCACCACUCCUAUUCAACAACACUGGGAAUGUUAGCCAGAGCAAUCAUGUAAGUGAAGGAAAUAAAAGGCAUCUAAAUAAGAAAAGACAAAUUCAAAUUACCUGUCUUCACUAGUAAUAUGAUUCUCUACCUAGAAAACCCUAAAGACUCUGCCAAAAGUUUCCUGGUCCUCAUAAAUGACUUUUGUAAAGUUUCAGCAUACAAAAAUCAAUGUAUAAAAAUCAGUAGCAUUUUUAUACAUGAACAGCAUCCAGGUUGAAUUUAAGAACACAAUCUCACAAUAGCCACAGAAAUAAAAUAAAAAAUAAAAUACCUAGGAAUACGUCCAACCAAGAAGGUGAAAGAUCUGUACAAGAAGGACUACAAAACACUGCUAAGAGAAAUCAGAGAUGACAAAAACAAAUGAAGAAACACUACAGGUUGAUGGAUUGAAAUAAUCUGUAUUGUUAAAAUGGUCAUACUACCCAAAACAAUCUACAGAUUCAAUGCAUUUCCUAUCAAACUACCAAUGUCAUUUUUCUCAGAAUUGGAAAAAAGCUAUUCUAAAGUUUGUAUGGAAUCCAAAAAGCAAAAGUACCAAGCAAAAAGAACAUAGCUGGAAGCAUAGCAUUACCUGACUUCAAAGUAUGCUAUAAGACUACAAUAACCAAAACAGCAUGGCACUGGUAUAAAAACAGAUACAUAGACCAAUGAAACAGAAUAAAGAACCCAGAAAUAAAGCCACAAACCUACAGCCAUCUUUGACAAAUUUCACAAAACUGAGCAAUGGGAAAAGGACUCCCUAUUGAAAAAAUGGUGCUGGACAAGCUGGCUAGCCAAAUGCCGAAGAAUAAAACUGAACUCCUACCCUUCACCAUACAUAAAAAUAAACUCAAGAGGGAAUAAAGAUUUAAAUAUAAGACCAUGAACUAUAAAAAUUGUAGAAGAAAACCUAGGAAACACCAUUCUGGACAUCACCUUUUCAAAGGAAUUUGUGACCAAGUCCUCAAGAGAAAUUGUCUUCUGUAGGGACAUGGAUGAAACUGGAAAUCAUCAUUCUCGGUAAACUAUCGCAAGAACAAAAAACCAAACACCGCAUAUUCUCACUCAUAGGUGGGAAUUGAACAAUGAGAUCACAUGGACACAGGAAGGGGAAUAUCACACUCUGGGGACUGUUGUGGGGUGGGGGGAGGGGGGAGGGAUAGCAUUGGGAGAUAUACCUAAUGCUAGAUGACGAGUUAGUGGGUGCAGUGCACCAGCAUGGCACAUGUAUACAUAUGUAUCUAACCUGCACAAUGUGCACAUGUACCCUAAAACUUAAAGUAUAAUAAAAAAAAAAGAGAAAUUGUAACAGAAAGAAAAAUUAAGGAAUCAGGAAAAAUAGCUAGUGUAUGCUGGGCAUAAUACCUAGGUGAUGGAUUUAUAGGUGCAGCAAACCACCAUGGCGCAUGUUUACCUAUGUAACAAACCUGCACAUCCUGCACAUGUACCCUGGAACUUAAAAUAGAAAUUAAAAAAGUGAGUCCUAAUUAAACUAAAUAGCUUUGGCAUAACAAAAGAAACUAUCAACAGAGUAAACAGACAACUUACAAGAUAGGAGAAAAUAUUCUCAAACUAUAUAUUCAACAAGGGUCUAAUAUCCCGACUCUAUAAGGAGCUUAUGCAAUUCAACAAUUGAAAAACAACCCCAUUAAAAAGUGGCCAAAAGAAAUGGACAUUUCUC